rnacentral:rRNA from 1 species
AUUGAACGCUGGCGGCAGGCCUAACACAUGCAAGUCGAACGGUAACAGGAAGAAGCUUGCUUCUUUGCUGACGAGUGGCGGACGGGUGAGUAAUGUCUGGGAAACUGCCUGAUGGAGGGGGAUAACUACUGGAAACGGUAGCUAAUACCGCAUAACGUCGCAAGACCAAAGAGGGGGACCUUCGGGCCUCUUGCCAUCGGAUGUGCCCAGAUGGGAUUAGCUAGUAGGUGGGGUAACGGCUCACCUAGGCGACGAUCCCUAGCUGGUCUGAGAGGAUGACCAGCCACACUGGAACUGAGACACGGUCCAGACUCCUACGGGAGGCAGCAGUGGGGAAUAUUACACAAUGGGCGCAAGCCUGAUGCAGCCAUGCCGCGUGUAUGAAGAAGGCCUUCGGGUUGUAAAGUACUUUCAGCGGGGAGGAAGGGAGUAAAGUUAAUACCUUUGCUCAUUGACGUUACCCGCAGAAGAGGCACCGGCUAACUCCGUG